UACGUAGGGCGCAAGCGUUAAUCGGAAUUACUGGGCGUAAAGCGUGCGCAGGCGGUUUUGUAAGACAGGUGUGAAAUCCCCGGGCUUAACCUGGGAACUGCAUUUGUGACUGCAAGGCUGGAGUGCGGCAGAGGGGGAUGGAAUUCCGCGUGUAGCAGUGAAAUGCGUAGAUAUGCGGAGGAACACCGAUGGCGAAGGCAAUCCCCUGGGCCUGCACUGACGCUCAUGCACGAAAGCGUGGGGAGCAAACAGG
rnacentral:rRNA from 1 species